CCGACCUGGCUUACACCGGUUUAAACUCAGAUCAUGUAAAACUUUAAAAGUCGAACAGACUUAACUAAUUAGCUUCUACACCAAUAGUAAAUUUUAAUCCAACAUCGAGGUCGCAAACUUUCUUUUUGAUAAGAACUCUAAAGAAAAUCACGCUGUUAUCCCUAAGGUAAUUUAAUCUUUUUCUCCAAAUUUUAGGAUCAUUCACUCACAAAUAAAUGUAUAGAUUUAAAAAAAGUUUCUUUAAUUUUUUCAUCACCCCAACACAAUACUUUAUAAACAGUUUAAUUCUUAAUCCCAUAAACAUUAAAUUGUUUUAAAAAUAUAAAACUCUAUAGGGUCUUCUCGUCUUCUAUAUACAUUUAAGCUUUUUCACUUAAAAAUAAAAUUUUAAUUAAUCUUUCCAGAGACAGAAAUCUUCUCAUCAAACCUUUCAUUCCAGCUUUCAAUUAAAAAACUAUUGAUUAUGCUACCUUUGCACGGUCAAAAUACCGCGGCCAUUUAACUUACUCAUAGAGCAGGUCAGACUUGAAAUUAUUAUCAACAAGCCAUGUUUU
rnacentral:rRNA from 1 species